GGCUCAUGGUUAGCUCAGUUGGUUACAGAAUGGUGCUGAUAAUGCCAAGGUUGCAGGUUCGAUCCCCAUACGGGACA